UACGGAGGGUGCAAGCGUUAUCCGGAUUCACUGGGUUUAAAGGGUGCGUAGGAGGGCAGGUAAGUCAGUGGUGAAAUCUCCAAGCUUAACUUGGAAACUGCCGUUGAUACUAUCUGUCUUGAAUACCGUGGAGGUGAGCGGAAUAUGUCAUGUAGCGGUGAAAUGCUUAGAUAUGACAUAGAACACCAAUUGCGAAGGCAGCUCGCUACACGAAUAUUGACUCUGAGGCACGAAAGCGUGGGGAUCAAACAGGGA
rnacentral:rRNA from 1 species